GCGGGGGCAGGCCCCGGGCCUGGGCGCGGCGGCGGGGCGGCACCUACCUUCCCGGCUUCGGGUCCGGGAGUGCGGGGCGCGGAGCCGCCGCAGCGCUGCCUCCCUCCUUCCUCCUCCCCUCGCCCCCGCCCCGCGGCGCCACACAAUACUCGCCGGAAGCGGAAGCCGCGCCGAGGCUUGUGUCAGUGGAAGCCGAGGAGUCGGUGGGCGGCUGCGGCCGGUCUAGCGAUGCCUGCGGACGAAGGAGAAGGCAGGAGGCCGCAGCUGAGGAUGGCUUUGGGACCUGACAGGAGGAAUUAUUCUAUUUAAUACUGUGUUAACUGAACACAGGUAAUGCCAAGCCCUUUGCCACCCGUAAGUAGCUCCACAUGAAAGAAUAGUAGAAUUGGUGGUGGUUUUAGAGAGGUGGAGGGAAAACUGAAGAGAAAGUUGGAAUGGAUUUGAGAAAGACAAAAAAGAGUGGAAACCAUUUUGUCUCCACUCCCCAGCAAUCGAGCAGUCUCAGUCGCCCUCCUCUGCCAUCCUCCGUUUCUAGGAAUUAUGUGCAGAUUCGUGACUGAGAUUCGGGUCUGGGCCUGUCUGCCCUUUUCCUUCCACAAGUCAAUUCCAAGAGAACUCAUCCUGGACACAUGGUGCAGAAGGAAGGAAGGAGACGGAAAAGCUUGGGUCUUGCCUGGGAUCCUCCGUUUCCUACAGCCCGGAGUGUUACAACCUGGGAGGAGAUGGGAACUCCAGAAGAGAGAAAAAAGGAACUGAAGUUAAACGUCCCUCUUCUGGAACUGAAAAAGACUCUGUUCCAUUUCUCCCCUCCCUUCCUAGAACAUUAGCCAAAUGUUGGGCUAAGUAAUUGGUGUUGACCCUGUGUUAAUCCUGCGCUUGCAACCUGCAACCGGUUGGGCCAGGGCGCUCACUGCCCCACCCCCAGCCUGACUCCUCCCCCAGCUCCCCCCUUUCAGGCUGGGUGGGGCCACAGGAGGAGGAGUGGACUCUGGGAGGCAGGAGACCCUGCGGGGACUGUGGGAUGCAGCGCCCCUGUCGGCCGUUCUGGAGAAGGUGCCGCCUUCACUCUCCUUUCUGGUGGAGGAGCCUGUCCAGACUGUUCUGCAUGAGGAAUAGUCUGUUUUUCCCCACAGGCGAUCAGGAAAUGAUUCCUUUCCUACCUGGUUCUGUCUCCCGCCUGGGCAUCUCAGUGAGUCAGUGGCUCAGGAACUCUCUCCCCUGCUCCUCCCCCCAGUUCAAGCUGCGAAGGGAAUUUGAUAUUUUCAUGGAAUCUGCCCACACGUGUGCAGCCCAGUAGCAGAACUAGUGUUGGCAACCAAAGCGGACAGAGGAUUUGGCUUCAUGGAAACAGGCAAAGAAGGAGUGUCGUUGUGCAGCCUUCUGAGUUGGUCCCCAUAGGGAGAUGCCCACGUGGACAGGUCAGCAGCGUCCAGAUAUGGAAAAGGGUAAACGUGAGAAUGUCAUGUGACUUCUGCUACCAUAUGCCAAAUCUAAAAACCCAGAAAUUUUUCUAAAAUUUUGGUGAGACUCGAAUUUUCUUUGUAGCAUAUACUGGCACCAUCUGUGCUAUCAUCUAACUAUUAAUAUUUCACAUUGGAACCAUUUUUCUUGAGCACUGAUAAGUAAGGCUGAUAUAUUGGUUGAGUUCCUCACUUCAACAAAGACCAUCAUUCCUGCAAGUCUUACAUUUAAUAUUUGAGUAACUGAUUAAAAUACAUUUUUGUGAAAUA